UCAAGUGAGACAGAGUGUGCAUAGACGGAGGGUCACGGGCCUGCAAGUUACUGAGGAGCUAAUCUGGAUACUAUGGGGUUCACAUCCAGAGAACCUGGCGGACUCAGGGAUCCUGAGGGUGAAGGGAGAGCGCGUCCAGGGAAGCACGUGUACCGCAGAGGUAACCAAGGGGAUGCUAGCCAUGGAGCUCGGACCCUGCCGUUUUGCUGUUUCAGCACAAGUCAGGAAGCGAUCAUCAUGUAGCCAUGGGAAUCAACGAGUGCAGAGGAAAUGUUGCAGGGGAAUAAUGGAGCCAACUCGCUCAACUCCACAAAAAUUGGUCACAUCCUAAAACAAUGAAAGAACAGGUAUCCAAAGGCUCUUAAAGGAAGUUCAGUGUUUUGACAGUAACUUUUGCUGUAAGUGAAGGAAUUCCAGAGUGCUAAAGCAUUUGUAAAAUGUGAACUAAGCCUGUUGCUCAUUCUCACUCUUUCAUCUCAAUAACCCUAAUGUCCCCUUGCCACAGUAUUCCCGUUCUAUCAAUAAACUCUUAGUUUAAGUGACUUUCCAAA